CCAGAGUGUGCCUCUGUACCUUCCUGGUUUGGUGCUGGAGUCAUGGGCUCCUUACAGACAAUUAUGAAGCUGCAGUGAGUAGGGCAGAGGCCUCUUCCUCCAACUGAGGGGGACACAGUGCUGCUAGAAAGGGGAAUGGAAAGAGGCUCCCACGCCAUCCCAUUUCCCCCUAGACUGGGCCCCUCUAAAAUGCUCUGGUACCAUCUAGAACUUCACCAGGCUCCAGUACCAGUCACUAACCCCUGAGUUUCAACUUUCUCUUUUGAGAUCAAGAUCCCUGCCCAGCUAUGGGCUUAGGAAGCAAAGCUCUAAGGCAUCUCUGGCAUGGCCUGGAAUCUUCUGCUUCUUUCUCUACACAGGUGAACAACUAAGGCCCUGUCCCCAGAUUCAUCUUCACAGGACCAGGAGCCUGGCCUUGAACCUAACCUGAAAGUAGAGGAGCUGGUGGGGGUGGACCUCUAAGAGUUAAAUUCUGUCUCCUGAAAUGACAUGUCCUGGAUUCUUAUGAAAAUCAGAUUUCUUUCUUUUUGAAAAUCAGAUUUCUUAUAAAAACUUGUAGAGGUGGCUAUGACAACCAUGUCGGCCACCUAUUCAGGAAAGAGGGGAGCAGGCAAGAGAACAGAGAGAACCAGCAGGAGCCAGACCAGCCCUGCACAGCACAGCAGCCUGCUCACUCUUCAUGUUUGCCAGCUCUAAUUUGGGCAUAGUCCCAUGGACACCAUCACCUGUAGAUUGAGUUGGGUUUCUGGUGAUUGCCAGGCCAUGAGGGCAAUGAGCUGUGUGGGGCACAAGCUGUGCCUCUGAACCUGUCUUUCAUGUCCUCCCCCUCCCCAGGCAACUUGAACAAACUCUGUUACAAAGAGACCAAUGUCUACAUUUAGGUUACCUGAGUCAUUCCCUCAAUUUGACAGAACUGUUCUCUGUUGUCCUGGAAAUUGAGUCUCCCUUGGCUUCAACUAUAUCUACUGUGAAAUGGAAAGAAUUCUGUGAAUCUUCAAUUUCUUUUUUGAAUUAAAUGAUAC
rnacentral:lncRNA from 1 species